CGUGAACGCUGGCGGUAGGCCUAACACAUGCAAGUCGAACGGCAGCACAGUAAGAGCUUGCUCUUACGGGUGGCGAGUGGCGGACGGGUGAGGAAUACAUCGGAAUCUACUUUUUCGUGGGGGAUAACGUAGGGAAACUUACGCUAAUACCGCAUACGACCUACGGGUGAAAGCAGGGGAUCUUCGGACCUUGCGCGAUUGAAUGAGCCGAUGUCGGAUUAGCUAGUUGGCGGGGUAAAGGCCCACCAAGGCGACGAUCCGUAGCUGGUCUGAGAGGAUGAUCAGCCACACUGGAACUGAGACACGGUCCAGACUCCUACGGGAGGCAGCAGUGGGGAAUAUUGGACAAUGGGCGCAAGCCUGAUCCAGCCAUACCGCGUGGGUGAAGAAGGCCUUCGGGUUGUAAAGCCCUUUUGUUAGGAAAGAAAAGCAGCAGGUUAAUACCCCGCUGUUCUGACGGUACCCAAAGAAUAAGCACCGGCUAACUUCGUG
rnacentral:rRNA from 1 species